UACGGACUUAAAUUUUGAGCCUUAGUAGAGAAAUCUACUAAGUGACUGUUUUCACAUUCAGGGAAACCUAAGGUUUGAGAUGGAGGUAAUCCUGAGCCAAAUUUUAGUUAUGAAAUAGGUGCAGAGACUCGAAGGAAACUAUCCUAACGAAAAUUUUUUUCUUUAUUUUUUUAUUACGAGUAUUGAUUCAGUCCAUAGUAUAAAAUAUAUUUGAAAUAAUAAAAACAUCUUAAUUACUAAGUACUAUUCAAAUUAGUUUUUCAAUAAAUUUAAAUUAUAAUAGACGAGGAUAAAGAUAGAGUCCUUUUUUAUAAUCUAUAUAAUUUUUAUUUAUAAAUAAUUGUAAAAAGAAAAUCCGUUGGCUUUAAUAGACCUUGAGGGUUCAAGUCCCUCUACCCCCA
rnacentral:ncRNA from 1 species